GAUGAACGCUAGCUAUAGGCUUAACACAUGCAAGUCGAGGGGAAACGGCAUUAUGUGCUUGCACAUUUUGGACGUCGACCGGCGCACGGGUGAGUAUCGCGUAUCCAACCUGCCCUUUACUUGGGGAUACCCCGUUGAAAGACGGCCUAAUACCCGAUGUAAUUCAUUGAUGGCAUCAGAUAUGAAUAAAAGAUUUAUCGGUAAAGGAUGGGGAUGCGUCUGAUUAGCUUGUUGGUGAGGUAACGGCUCACCAAGGCGACGAUCAGUAGGGGUUCUGAGAGGAAGGUCCCCCACAUUGGAACUGAGACACGGUCCAAACUCCUACGGGAGGCAGCAGUGAGGAAUAUGGGUCAAUGGGCGCAAGCCUGAACCAGCCAAGUAGCGUGCAGGAAGACGGCCCUAUGGGUUGUAAACUGCUUUUAUACGAGAAUAAUUUGAUGCACGUGUGCGUUAUUGCAUGUAUCGUAUGAAUAAGGACCGGCUAAUUCCGUG
rnacentral:rRNA from 1 species